rnacentral:rRNA from 1 species
UACGAAGGGGGCUAGCGUUACUCGGAAUUACUGGGCGUAAAGGCGCGUAGGCGGCGCUCCAAGUUAGGCGUGAAAGUCCUGGGCUCAACCUGGGAACUGCGCUUGAUACUGGAGUGCUUGAGGAUGGAAGAGGGUCGUGGAAUUCCCAGUGUAGAGGUGAAAUUCGUAGAUAUUGGGAAGAACACCGGUGGCGAAGGCGGCGACCUGGUCCAUUACUGACGCUGAGGCGCGACAGCGUGGGGAGCAAACAGG